rnacentral:rRNA from 1 species
UGGACUUGACAUCAUGGGUCUACCUGUAGAAAUAUAGGGUGCUUAUGCGCCCAUGAC